UACAGAGGUCCCGAGCGUUAUCCGGAUUCACUGGGUUUAAAGGGUGCGUAGGUGGGUCUGUAAGUCAGUGGUGAAAUCUCCGAGCUUAACUCGGAAACUGCCAUUGAUACUAUAGAUCUUGAAUCAUCUGGAGGUAAGCGGAAUAUGUCAUGUAGCGGUGAAAUGCUUAGAUAUGACAUAGAACACCAAUUGCGAAGGCAGCUUACUACGGGUGCAUUGACACUGAGGCACGAAAGCGUGGGGAUCAAACAGG
rnacentral:rRNA from 1 species